GACGAACGCUGGCGGCGUGCUUAACACAUGCAAGUCGAACGGAAAGGCCCUGCUCUUGUGGGGUGCUCGAGUGGCGAACGGGUGAGUAACACGUGAGUAACCUGCCCUUGACUUUGGGAUAACUUCAGGAGACUCGGGCUAAUACCGGAUAGGAGCUCCUGCUGCAUGGUGGGGGUUGGAAAGUUUCGGCGGUUGGGGAUGGACUCGCGGGUUAUCAGCUUGUUGGUGGGGUAGUGGCUUACCAAGGCUUUGAGGGGUAGCCGGCCUGGGAGGGUGACCGGCCACAUUGGGACUGAGAUACGCACCAGAAGCCUACGGGAGGCAGAAGUGGGGAGUAUGGCAGAAUGGGGGGAAGUCAGAUGCAGCAGCGCCGCGUGCGUGAUGACGGCCUUCGGGUGGUAAACCGCUUUCGCCGGUGACGAAGCGUGAGUGACGGUAAUGGGUAAAGAAGCACCGGCUAACUACGUG
rnacentral:rRNA from 1 species